rnacentral:rRNA from 1 species
CCUACGGGAGGCAGCAGUGGGGAAUAUUGCACAAUGGGGGAAACCCUGAUGCAGCGACGCCGCGUGAGUGAGGAAGUAUUUCGGUAUGUAAAGCUCUAUCAGCAGGGAAGAAAAUGACGGUACCUGACUAAGAUUCCCCGGCUAACUUCGUGCCAGCCGCCGCGGUAAUACGUAGGGGGCAAGCGUUAUCCGGAUUUACUGGGUGUAAAGGGAGCGUAGACGGCUAAUCAAGUCAGAAGUGAAAACCCAGGGCUCAACCUUGGGAGUGCUUUUGAAACUGAGAAGCUAGAGUGCAGGAGAGGUAAGCGGAAUUCCUAGUGUAGCGGUGAAAUGCGUAGAGAUUAGGAAGAACACCAGUGGCGAAGGCGAUUCACUGGACUGUAACUGACGCUGAGGCUCGAAAGCGUGGGGAGCAAACAGGAUUAGAUACCCUGGUAGUC